AAAUUGAAGAGUUUGAUAAUGGCUCAGAUUGAACGCUGGCGGCAGGCCUAACACAUGCAAGUCGAACGGUAGCACAGAGAGCUUGCUCUCGGGUGACGAGUGGCGGACGGGUGAGUAAUGUCUGGGAAACUGCCUGAUGGAGGGGGAUAACUACUGGAAACGGUGGCUAAUACCGCAUAACGUCGCAAGACCAAAGAGGGGGACCUUCGGGCCUCUUGCCAUCAGAUGUGCCCAGAUGGGAUUAGCUUGUUGGUGAGGUAACGGCUUACCAAGGCGACGAUCCCUAGCUGGUCUGAGAGGAUGACCAGCCACACUGGAACUGAGACACGGUCCAGACUCCUACGGGAGGCAGCAGUGGGGAAUAUUGCACAAUGGGCGCAAGCCUGAUGCAGCCAUGCCGCGUGUAUGAAGAAGGCCUUCGGGUUGUAAAGUACUUUCAGCGGGGAGGAAGGUGUUGUGGUUAAUAACC
rnacentral:rRNA from 1 species